rnacentral:lncRNA from 1 species
UCCAGUUCUUCAUAUGAAAAUGAAGAAAAGCUUUAGUGUUACUCUGGAUCACGUGACUGGGCAGUUUGAAAGCCUCUAAGAGAAGAUUAUGAAGUUUGGAACCAGAUGCCAGGAGACACGAGGAAGGCUGUAGAUGCUUUGAACUUGUCUACUGGAGGAAUAUGCUAUGUUGUGUACUUCAUCUCUAUGAAUAUUUAGCAAGGAUUUCUACUGAACGUUUGCAGUAAUAAAAAGUAUGCCAUCAGUUUUAAUAAAGAGACACCCACUUCAAUUACUAUUUGUUACAACACUUCCAGUAUCACUUGUGACAAAUUUCAAUUAUAGUUGAAAUCCAAAGCAUAAUCCAGUUCAGAGAGACACAUGGAAGUGACCCUUGAGCUUUAUUUUGUUAAGUUAAAGUUAAAACAUUGCUUUUAUUUCAUCAUGUCGACAAACAUCCCUGGGAGUCAGAACCACCAUUUUUGCAAGAGGUGAGUUGUAGUUUAAAUAAAG